rnacentral:snRNA from 1 species
AGAUGAUCUGGCUGCAGCAUCGGUCGCCAGGAUUGAUUAAGCAGACCUGUCGGCUGGUGGUGCCCUCUUCCUCCCUACAGCAGCUGAUGAGGAGCUGCACUCACUCCCUACUAGAACCUCCAAACAAACUCUCAAGGUCCAUUGUAGGUGGACAUAGAGUAGUCAAGCCUCCAAGACUCUGGACAUGUGCACCAAAAUAAAAUAUAUUUGAAAUUCUAUAUGAAU